rnacentral:rRNA from 1 species
CUUUACUGCAACUUGACGUUGGAACUUGGCUGUAUUUGUGUAGGAUAAAUGGAAAACUUUGAAGCAGGGCCGCCAGGUCUUACGGAGUCGUCGUUGAAAUACCACCCUGGUGCUGACGAGUUUCUAACCGUGUCCGUAAGCCGGACAUGAGACAGCGUCUGGUGAGCAAUUUGACUGGGACAAUCGCCUCCUAAAAGGUAACGGAGGCAUUCAAAAAUCCCCUCAGCGUGGUCGGUAAUCACGCGCAGAGUGCAAACGCAUAAGGAAGCUUAACUGCAAGACCGACAGGUCGAGCAGAUACGAAAGUAGGAGUUAGUGAUCCCGCGGUUUAGCGUGGAAUUGCCGUUGCUCAAUGGAUAAAAGGUA